rnacentral:rRNA from 1 species
AUUGAACGCUGGCGGCAUGCCUAACACAUGCAAGUCGAACGGCAGCACAGCAGUAGCAAUACUGUGGGUGGCGAGUGGCGGACGGGUGAGGAAUACGUCGGAAUCUGCCCAGUCGUGGGGGAUAACUAGCCGAAAGGUUAGCUAAUACCGCAUACGACCGAGAGGUGAAAGCGGGGGACCGCAAGGCCUCGCGCGAUUGGAUGAGCCGACGUCGGAUUAGCUAGUUGGCGGGUAAAGGCCCACCAAGGCGACGAUCCGUAGCUGGUCUGAGAGGAUGAUCAGCCACACUGGAACUGAGACACGGUCCAGACUCCUACGGGAGGCAGCAGUGGGGAAUAUUGGACAAUGGGCGCAAGCCUGAUCCAGCAAUGCCGCGUGUGUGAAGAAGGCCUUCGGGUUGUAAAGCACUUUAUCUAGGAACGAAAGACGUUGGAUUAAUACUCUGACGUGCUGACGGUACCUGAGGAAUAAGCACCGGCUAACUUCGUGCCAG